GCUGUUUAAAACCCUCGGUCAGUCUCCUCCUCCCUCCCCCCCCUGCCCGCCCCCUCCAACACCCCCGGGGAUCAGGGGGAGAUGCUGCCGGGAUGCGGGAUGCGGGAUGCGGCGGCGGCCGGGCCGGGACCCCCCCGGGCGGCGAGAUAAGGAGGUUAGAGAAGAGGGGGAGGUGAAAGGAGGGCGGACACAGCCGGGAAGGUGAGAGACAGCGAUGCUCUCUCCUCUAGCCCGGAGCAAAAACCUUUGUCCCGCAGGAUUCCGUGCAAACCAACCUCACACCGGGAGAAGGGCUGGACGGGGCGCGGGGAGGGAAUUAUGGCCGGAGACAUAACUGCUGGGACUGCUUUAGGUUUAACCUCCAGAUUCCCCCGGCUGAACCCCUCGGCUGGGCUGAAUUUAGCAGCAGGAGAGAUAACCAGCAGAUAAGGGCUGAUACCCUGGGAGGACAGCGGGAGACGGGCAGGCGGCCGAGGAAGGGGAGAGAAGCCGGAGGCAGCGCUGGGAAGGGGUAAGGAUGGAAGCGAGCCGGGAAUAAAGGGCUUUAAGGGAAAUCUGUGUCCCCCCGACCCCCGGGGAAUGGUUGGUGUGUAACCGGCCUAGGAUGAAGCUUUUCCACAGGUUUUCCUAAAGAGGGAACAAGGCAACAAGGAGCGAGUUCCCCUCUCGCCCUACAAAUAGUAGUGGUGAUAAUAAUAAAAAAAAAAAAUUAAAAAAAAAAUGGAAAAUCGAGUUACUUUUCAAGCCCGAGGAAACAAUAGGAGGAAACUUUCGGGGAGGACUCUAAGAAGGGCUCGCUGGGGUCCCGGUGUGACAGCGAGGAAGAGGAGCGAGGGGACAGAGAAGCGCUACCCACCUUCAGUGCUGGGGGCACGGGGGUGGCGGGGGGCGAGCCCGUGGGGCUGGAACCUCCCCUGGCUGUGGGGAAGGCAGAGGGCUCAGAGAUGCCCGGCUCCUGCUUCCCUGGGGGGGAUGAGGGGCAGCGCUGCCCCCCUCCUGGCUCCCCAGUAUGGCCAGUCCCACUCGCUGACUGGUUUGCCCGCAUCACGUGGAAGUGGGCGGCGAUGGGAGGGAAAGGGGGGUGAAGGGGGUGGCCGGUAUCUGUUACACCAUCAGCCGGGCGCCAGGUUUCAUGGCUGUGGAGAAGAGGGGAAAAAAAAUAAAAAGGAGUAAAAUAAAAUAAAAUCGAAUAAUAAAAUCAAACCAGCCCCAAGGGCAUGUCCCCACCAGCUGGGCGCCCCAGGGAUGCCUGUGCCCAACUCCCAGAAAAAAAUCAGGGGGAUUUUCUGAGAGAUACAGACACCCCCCAGUCCCCCAACCCCGUUGGAGCCAACCCCUUUCGUUGGCGAUGUUGCACGGGGGAGAUUUUUCCGUGCCGCAAAUCGUGGUCCCAAAUUGCAGAGUGAGGAGGUGGCAGUGCUCUCCUCUCUGUCCCAGGCACUUUGGGGGUGCUCCCCCCGGGCUGGACACCCACUUUCUGUCCCGCCGUGCUCUGAAGGGUUUGAAGGUCAUUGAUGAAGUGCAGCGGGGGUGCUGCACCCCUCUGCAAUUUGGGGUCUCAAUCCCAUGGGGGGUUCAGCCCCCCAUCCACAGCCCCCCCUCUCCCAGGGGCUCAUUUCACCCUGGAGUCUCUCCAGACAUCGGGGGGGUCCCACCGCCGUGUUUCCCGGGAAUAACCCUCACACCAUUAACAUUUCCCACACUCUGGAGUUUCCCGUGGAAAUUUGGGGUUACUACCCUAAGACAGGGGGAGAGAUUUCAGCGGAUUUUGGUGUUAGAAAUAAAAAUAUUGAAUUUAAAUUCCAAAUCCCAGUAUGGAAGAGACAGUGUGGGUGGAAGAGGGGAUGGGAGAAGCGAUUUAUUGAAGGGGGAUGGAGGUGCGGAGAGCACUUUGGGGGUGCCCCAGGGUUGGGAAUGAGUCCCUGGGGAUAAGGGUUCCCCUCAUCCUCUGUCCUCACAUUAUUCUGGAAUACCCAGGGGGCACAGGGACUCCCCAAACCCCAAAAAGUGACAAAACGCUGUUGGAGAUAACCCCAAAUAUCGUGAAGAAAAUAAUUAUAGCCCCGUAUAGAAAUAAAAUAACAGGCACAGAAAUGCGUAACAAAUAAACAUCAGCAGCGGUGUCACUGUGAAUAUUUGUACUUUCAUUUGUACACGGGGGAAAAUAUGUAAUUAAUAAAAAGUGUGUAAUUUUAUACAAAUCUAUACAAAAAUUAAGUAUAGACGGGACUUAAUGUAUGUUAUAAUUCACAGGAAUGCGUGUUACAUGCAAACAUAAAUAUACUGUCAUACCAAAAUAAUUUAUUGUUUAUAAUUUAUAACGCCCGUGGUAUUGUUUUUGUAUAUAUGUAAGUUAUUAAAUAUUAAAAAUAGAUAUAUAACAUAGAAGCGAUAAUGUUUAAUAAUUAAUAUAAUAUCUAAACAUGUAAAUGCGUAUAUUUUAAAAUAUGCAUGAAUACAUGUAUAUAUAAAAAUAUACUGAUGGACACGGGGCUAGCAGCACUCAGGGAAAGAAAGGAGAAUUAAAUAUAUCAAUAUCUCUUUUUCUAUCCCUUCUCCAAAGCAGCUGCCUAUCCAGAUGUGCCGGGUUCAGGACAGUCAUCUUUCCUUCCUUUACAAAAUUCCUGACAGUUUUCUCUCCCAAAGCAGCGAUUUUCUAAAGAUUCGUUGAAUUCCUACAGAAAAGCAGCCCUUUCAUAAAAAAAAAAAAAAAAAAAAAAGAGACAAAACAAAACAACAAACAAUUUAAACUGAUUGAACCUGCCCAAGCAGCAAUACCAGGGAGCAGAGAAGAUUUCAAGGAGCUGUUUUGGCUUUGCUGCUUCCAGGAAAAAAGGUACCAAAGCAAUUCCCGUGGGUGGUUUCGCGUGAGUGUGGCCGGAUCCAGCCUCCCCAUGCGGGGAAUUACCGGGCGGUGGAGCCGGGAGCGCAUCCCGAAAAUGCGGGAGGUGAGGAACCGCAGCGAGCCGACAGCCGGCAGGGAGAGGAUGGAAUUAGGACACAAUUCCUCCCGGAAAAAGGAGAUGGGACACAGAAAAGCGCAGCGACCAAAAAACCCCAAACAAAUCCCAAACCAAACCCAAAAUUUUGUUCCGCACGCGGUGGAGCCUUUUUUUUUUUUAUUUCUUGCGAUUAACGAAAUAUGUGUGAAAUUAACCCAGGGGAACAAAGUUUGGCCUUGCCUCUCUCCUUUUCAGCCUCCAGUUCUGCCCCAGGCAGGAAAAAAUAAUAUAAAAGACGUCUCUUUUUUAGGGGUGUUUUGUUUUGCUCUUUUCCCCCCCUCUGUAUAGAACUUAGUUCUGCGGUGGUUUUAGAGUUAAAGCUCUGGGUGUUGAAGCAUGGAAAAAAAAACAACAAACGUUUCCCCCACCAAAAAAAACAACAACAACAAAAAAAUCA